rnacentral:rRNA from 1 species
GACGAACGCUGGCGGCGUGCCUAACACAUGCAAGUCGAACGAGUGGCGGACGGGUGAGUAACACGUGGGUAACCGCCCAUCAGAGGGGGAUAACACUUGGAAACAGGUGCUAAUAGCGCAUACUGAUGGAUGGACCAGCGGUGCAUUAGCUAGUUGGUGAGGUAACGGCUCACCAAGGCCACGAUGCAUAGCAGAGCUGAGAGGUUGAUCGGCCACACUGGAACUGAGACACGGUCCAGACUCCUACGGGAGGCAGCAGUGGGGAAUAUUGGACAAUGGGCGAAAGCCUGAUCCAGCCAUGCCGCGUGUAUGAAGAAGGCCUUCGGGUUGUAAAGUACUUUCAGCGGGGAGGCGUUACCCGCAGAAGAAGCACCGGCUAACUCCGUGCCAGCAGCCGCGGUAAUAC